UACGUAGGGGGCUAGCGUUGUCCGGAAUCAUUGGGCGUAAAGAGCGUGUAGGCGGCUCGGUAAGUCCGCUGUGAAAGUCCAGGGCUCAACCCUGGAAUGCCAGUGGAAACUGUCGAGCUAGAGUCCGGAAGAGGCGAGUGGAAUUCCUGGUGUAGCGGUGAAAUGCGCAGAUAUCAGGAGGAACACCGGUGGCGAAGGCGGGUCUCUGGGCCGUAACUGACGCUGAGGAGCGAAAGCGUGGGGAGCGAACAGG
rnacentral:rRNA from 1 species